rnacentral:rRNA from 1 species
UACAGAGGUCUCAAGCGUUGUUCGGAUUCAUUGGGCGUAAAGGGUGCGUAGGCGGCGCGGUAAGUCGGGUGUGAAAUCUCGGGGCUUAACUCCGAAACUGCAUUCGAUACUGCCGUGCUUGAGGACUGGAGAGGAGACUGGAAUUUACGGUGUAGCGGUGAAAUGCGUAGAUAUCGUAAGGUAGACCAGUGGCGAAGGCGGGUCUCUGGACAGUUCCUGACGCUGAGGCACGAAGGUCAGGGGAGCAAACGGG